rnacentral:tRNA from 1 species
CGGGCCGUGGCGCAGCUUGGUAGCGCGCUUGACUGGGGGUCAAGAGGUCGCGAGUUCGAAUCUCGCCGGCCCGACCA